rnacentral:rRNA from 1 species
UACGUAGGGUGCGAGCGUUGUCCGGAAUUACUGGGCGUAAAGAGUUCGUAGGCGGUUUGUCGCGUCGUUCGUGAAAACUUGGGGCUUAACUCCAAGCGUGCGGGCGAUACGGGCAGACUUGAGUACUACAGGGGAGACUGGAAUUCCUGGUGUAGCGGUGAAAUGCGCAGAUAUCAGGAAGAACACCAAUGGCGAAGGCAGCUCUCUGGGACGGUACUGACGCUGAGACGCGAAAGCGUGGGGAGCGAACAGG